ACGAACGCUGGCGGCGUGCCUAAUACAUGCAAGUCGAACGCUUCUUUUUCCACCGGAGCUUGCUCCACCGGAAAAAGAGGAGUGGCGAACGGGUGAGUAACACGUGGGUAACCUGCCCAUCAGAAGGGGAUAACACUUGGAAACAGGUGCUAAUACCGUAUAACAAUCGAAACCGCAUGGUUUUGAUUUGAAAGGCGCUUUCGGGUGUCGCUGAUGGAUGGACCCGCGGUGCAUUAGCUAGUUGGUGAGGUAACGGCUCACCAAGGCGACGAUGCAUAGCCGACCUGAGAGGGUGAUCGGCCACAUUGGGACUGAGACACGGCCCAAACUCCUACGGGAGGCAGCAGUAGGGAAUCUUCGGCAAUGGACGAAAGUCUGACCGAGCAACGCCGCGUGAGUGAAGAAGGUUUUCGGAUCGUAAAACUCUGUUGUUAGAGAAGAACAAGGAUGAGAGUAACUGUUCAUCCCUUGACGGUAUCUAACCAGAAAGCCACGGCUAACUACGUGCCAGCAGCCGCGGUAAUACGUAGGUGGCAAGCGUUGUCCGGAUUUAUUGGGCGUAAAGCGAGCGCAGGCGGUUUCUUAAGUCUGAUGUGAAAGCCCCCGGCUCAACCGGGGAGGGUCAUUGGAAACUGGGAGACUUGAGUGCAGAAGAGGAGAGUGGAAUUCCAUGUGUAGCGGUGAAAUGCGUAGAUAUAUGGAGGAACACCAGUGGCGAAGGCGGCUCUCUGGUCUGUAACUGACGCUGAGGCUCGAAAGCGUGGGGAGCAAACAGGAUUAGAUACCCUGGUAGUCCACGCCGUAAACGAUGAGUGCUAAGUGUUGGACGGUUUCCGCCCUUCAGUGCUGCAGCUAACGCAUUAAGCACUCCGCCUGGGGAGUACGACCGCAAGGUUGAAACUCAAAGGAAUUGACGGGGGCCCGCACAAGCGGUGGAGCAUGUGGUUUAAUUCGAAGCAACGCGAAGAACCUUACCAGGUCUUGACAUCCUUUGACCACUCUAGAGAUAGAGCUUCCCCUUCGGGGGCAAAGUGACAGGUGGUGCAUGGUUGUCGUCAGCUCGUGUCGUGAGAUGUUGGGUUAAGUCCCGCAACGAGCGCAACCCUUAUUGUUAGUUGCCAUCAUUUAGUUGGGCACUCUAGCAAGACUGCCGGUGACAAACCGGAGGAAGGUGGGGAUGACGUCAAAUCAUCAUGCCCCUUAUGACCUGGGCUACACACGUGCUACAAUGGGAAGUACAACGAGUCGCAAAGUCGCGAGGCUAAGCUAAUCUCUUAAAGCUUCUCUCAGUUCGGAUUGUAGGCUGCAACUCGCCUACAUGAAGCCGGAAUCGCUAGUAAUCGCGGAUCAGAAUGCCGCGGUGAAUACGUUCCCGGGUCUUGUACACACCGCCCGUCACACCAUGGGAGUCAGUAACGCCCGAAGUCAGUGACCUAACCGAAAGGGAGGAGCUGCCGAAGGCGGGACCGAUGACUGGGGUG
rnacentral:rRNA from 1 species